GCCGGGCGCGGUGGCGCGAGCCUGUAAUCCAGCUACUCCGGAGGCUGUGGCUGGCGGAUCGCUUGAGCUCAGGAGUUCUGGGCUGCAGUGGGCUAUGCCGAUCGGGUGUCCACGCUAAGUUUGGCAUCAAUAUGGUGAUCCCUGGGGAGCCGAGGGCCACCAGGUUGCCUAAGGAGGGGUGAACCGGCCCAGGUCGGAGACGGAGCAGGUCAAGAUGGCUAUGAGAAUGCCUGCUUAUCUCCUUCUCAGGAUGGCUGUUACAAUAACACCUUCACACCUAUGGAUUGGCUGAAUACAU
rnacentral:SRP_RNA from 1 species